rnacentral:rRNA from 1 species
AAGCGUUGUCCGGAUUCAUUGGGCGUAAAGGGCGCGUAGGCGGCGGGGUAAGUCUGGUGUGAAAUCUAGGAGCUCAACUCCUAAACUGCACUGGAUACUGCUCUGCUAGAGGACUGGAGAGGAGACUGGAAUUCACGGUGUAGCAGUGAAAUGCGUAGAUAUCGUGAGGAAGACCAGUGGCGAAGGCGGGUCUCUGGACAGUUCCUGACGCUGAGGCGCGAAGGCCAGGGGAGCAAACGGG